GGAAGAUUGUGACAAUCAUUAGGCCCAGCAACCAGAGCCCACUGGUGAGGUCCUGAAUCACACGUGAAUGCCGUUCACAGUUGGAAUUUUCACUGUCAUAAGUGAACAUCUGGCCACAGUUGGGAUGGUGACUCAUUUCUAAACCCAGCUUGUAGGAAGGUGAGGACUCUCCUAUCUGGACUCAACCAAUUGGAGAGAUGUUGACUGUCAUAUCUGGACGUAGAACCACAGGGAAGACUCUGGAUCUCCUUCCUGUAUGAAGGUCACAGAGGAUCACCAUUCUUGCAUAUUGUAUAAAGCCUUCAGGUGACACAGAGAGUGUCAUAAGAGAACACAGCACACAGGUGGGCUAGUGACUCUCAGACCAAGAUUCAGCACACAUGUGAGGCUGUAACUGCACUGAAAGGACAAGUCUGCAGAAUAAACUGUGGCUGUCUUGCAAAAAUUCUGUCAACCAUUGAGACUGUGACUCACACACUUAGAUCCAACAUCCAAGGCUGGGCGCAGUGGCUCACGCCUGUAAUCCCAGCACUUUGAAAGGCCAACGCAGGCGGAUCACCGGAGGUCAGGAGUUCAAGACCAUCCUGGCCAACAUGGUGAAACCCCCAUCUCUACUAAAAAUACAAAAAUUAGCCGCGCGUGGUGGCAGGCACCUGUAAUCCCAGCUACUCGGGAGGCUGACACAGGAGAAUCGCUUGAACCUGGGAGGCAGAGGUUGCAGUGAGCCGAGAUCACACCAUUGCAUCCCAGCCUGGGGGACAAGAGUGAGACUUCAUCUCAAAAAAACAAAAGCAAAAACAAAAUAGAUAAAUAGAUCCAACAUCCAGGAGGUGUUGACUCUCAUACCUAGAACCUGGACAUGUAUGGAAUUUCUAAUCUCAUUCCUGGACUUUCCUGCAGGUGUGAUUGUGUGCAUCUGCUAAGCACCUUAGUGAUUUGAGUUUCCUGCCUUGACCCAGUCCACAGAUAAGAUUGUGACAUAUCGCUUGACUCUGCACCUUGAAGAUAUGACUUUCUCUUCCAGCCUUGGUGCUGCCCACAGGGUGGAUUAUGACAUACUGCUAAGCCCUGCACUCAGGUUAUGUGACUCUUCUCUUUUGCCCGUGCCCUGAAUAUUUCACAUGUUAGGACAUGUUACUAGGCUGAACACCUAUAAAAUCAGAGGCUCCUGCCUGGGCCCUGUCUAGAGAGGGCCUUGUGACAUAUCUCUUCAUCAAUCACCUAGGAGAUGUGACUCUCCAUUUUUGCCUGCACUCUGCCCACAGGAAAAAUUGUGAAUUGUCA
rnacentral:lncRNA from 1 species